AGUGAACGCUCGCGGUAGGCCUAACACAUGCAAGUCGAACGGCAGCACAGUAAGAGCUUGCUCUUACGGGUGGCGAGUGGCGGACGGGUGAGGAAUACAUCGGAAUCUACUUUUUCGUGGGGGAUAACGUAGGGAAACUUACGCUAAUACCGCAUACGACCUACGGGUGAAAGCAGGGGAUCUUCGGACCUUGCGCGAUUGAAUGAGCCGAUGUCGGAUUAGCUAGUUGGCGGGGUAAGGGCCCACCAAGGCGACGAUCCGUAGCUGGUCUGAGAGGAUGAUCAGCCACACUGGAACUGAGACACGGUCCAGACUCCUACGGGAGGCAGCAGUGGGGAAUAUUGGACAAUGGGCGCAAGCCUGAUCCAGCCAUACCGCGUGGGUGAAGAAGGCCUUCGGGUUGUAAAGCCCUUUUGUUGGGAAAGAAAAGCAGCAGGUUAAUACCCCGCUGUUCUGACGGUACCCAAAGAAUAAGCACCGGCUAACUUCGUG
rnacentral:rRNA from 1 species